rnacentral:misc_RNA from 1 species
AUGCGAUAAGUAAUGUGAAUUGCAGAAUUCAGUGAAUCAUCGAAUCUUUGAACGCACCUUGCGCCCUUUGGUAUUCCGAAGGGCAUGCCUGUUUGAGUGUCAUGAAACCUCACCCCACUUAGGUUUUUGCCUAAGCGGUGGUGUAUUGGGUGUUUGCCUUGCUAAAGGCUCGCCUUAAAGAUAUAAGCACCUUGGAUGUAAUACGUUUCAUCCUUCUGGGUGGCUGAUAACCCCACAUAUUCAUGAUCUGGCCUCAAAUCAGGUAGGGCUACCCGCUGAACUUAA